GAUGAACGCUGGCGGCGUGCCUAAUACAUGCAAGUCGAGCGAAGAGACGAUGAGCUUUCUCCUCUGACGUUAGCGGCGGACGGGGGAGUAACACGUGGGUAACCUACCUAUAAGACUGGGAUAACUUCGGGAAACCGGAUCUAAUAUCGGGUAAUAUAUGGAACUGUAGGGUUCAAUAGUGAAGGACGGUUUUGCUGUUACUUAUAGUUGGAUCCGCGUCGCAUUAGCUAGUUGGUAAGGUAACGGCUUAUCAAGGCAACGAUGCGUAGCCGACCUGAGAGGGUGAGCGGCCCCAUCGGAACUGAGCCACGAUCCAGACUCCUAUGGGAGGGAGGGGUAGGGAAUCGACCACAGUGGGCGAAAGCCUAGCGGAACGACGCCACGUGAGUGAUGAGAGUCUGGGCAUCGUAAUACUCUGCUAUUAGGGCAGAACAAAUGUGUAAGUCCCUAUGCACGUCUUGACGGUACCUAAUCAGAAAGCCCCGGCUAACUACGUG
rnacentral:rRNA from 1 species